rnacentral:ncRNA from 1 species
AUGUAGUGAUUCUUAAGAGUGGGAUAGAAAUGAUAUUCUCAUAAAAUUUAUUUCGUUGAUCCCCAACUUGCAUUGUCUGUAGAAUUUCUUUUGAAAUUCUCUAUGUUGGGGCCCCGCCAACUUGCACAUUAUUGUAUGCUGACUUUUCGUCACCUUCUGUGUUGGGGCCCCGUUCCCCAACUUGCAUUGUCUGUAGAAUUUCUUUUUGAAAUUCUCUAUGUUGGGGCCCCGCCAACUUGCACAUUAUUGUAAGCUGACUUUCUGUCAGCUUCUGUGUUGGGGCCCCGCCAACUUGUAAAAACUUUAAAAACGAUCAUUUCUAUU